AUGGGUAAUCCCUCUUCUCCCACUUCCAGCUAUUAUGUCAAUGGGACUUGCCUUAUUCUUAUUCGGACCACAACAAAAAAUCUUCAUCGCAUGUGGGCUUUUCCUACUGUUUUACGCUUAAGUAUAGCUAUGGUAUUCUCAGUUCAACUGUCUAUUCAACAAAUAAAUGGAAGUUCGAUCUAUCAAUAUCUAUGGUCUUGGACCGUCAAUAAUGAUUGUUCUUUAGAAUUUGGAUACUUGAUUGACCCACUAACUUCUAUUAUGUUAAUACUAAUUACUACUGUAGGAAUCCUGAUUCUUAUUUAUAUUGAUGGUUAUAUGUCUCGCGAUGAAGGAUAUUUGAGAUUUUUUGUUUAUAUAAGUUUGUUCAAUACUUCCAUGUUGGGAUUGGUUACUAGCUCCAAUUUGAUAAAAAAAAUUGGGGAACUCGUGGGAAUGUGUUCUUAUUUAUUUAUAGGCUUUUGGUUUACACGACCAAUCGCGGUGAGUGCUUGUGAAAAAGCUUUUGUAACUAAUCGUGUAGGGGAUUUUGGUCUAUUAUUAGGAAUUUUAUGUUUUUUUGGAUAA
rnacentral:rRNA from 1 species